rnacentral:rRNA from 1 species
UACAGAGGUCUCAAGCGUUGUUCGGAUUCAUUGGGCGUAAAGGGUGCGUAGGCGGCGCGGUAAGUCGGGUGUGAAAUCUCGGGGCUUAACUCCGAAACUGCAUUCGAUACUGCCGUGCUUGAGGACUGGAGAGGAGACUGGAAUUUACGGUGUAGCGGUGAAAUGCGUAGAUAUCAGGAGGAACACCAAUGGCGAAGGCAGCACUCUGGGACGUGACUGACGCUGAGACGCGAAAGCGUGGGUAGCAAACAGG